AGAAUUCCCUGGACCAUGCACGGUGGGAGCACAUGCUGCUUCAGUUCCUAAGAACAUCUCUGGAGAUGAUAGACGACAGUGCCUGGAGCAGCCAGAUGUCCCUUGAGUUGAGCCGGCAGAUGGCCGGCUAUGCCAGCCCCUCCAGAGAGAAGAGCUUCCUGUAUAAGGCGCUAGGAACGUCCUUAGCAGCUUGUGAGGACCUGGUCCAUGUGAAAUCACAGAUUCAUACACUUUUGACAACAACAGAUUAUAUGGAAG